rnacentral:rRNA from 1 species
UUGGAGGGCAAGUCUGGUGCCAGCAGCCGCGGUAAUUCCAGCUCCAAUAGCGUAUAUUUAAGUUGUUGCAGUUAAAAAGCUCGUAGUUGAAUUUCGGGAUUGACGUGAUGGUCAUGCUUUAAGGGGUAUGAACUGUCACUGUUGAUUUCUCACCUUCUGGAGAAACUUGAUGUCCUUUAUUGGGUGUCUUGCGGAUCCAGGGCCUUUACCUUGAAAAAAUUAGAGUGUUUAAAGCAGGCAUUUUUGCUCGAAUACAUUAGCAUGGAGUAAUAGAAUAGGACGGCAUGGUUCUAUUUUGUUGGUUUCUAGGAUCACCGUAAUGAUUAAUAGGGAUAGUUGGGGGCAUUAGUAUUCAAUUGUCAGAGGUGAAAUUCUCGGAUUUAUUGAAGACUAACUACUGCGAAAGCAUUUGCCAAGGAUGUUUUCAUUAAUCAAGAACGAAAGUUAGGGGAUCGAAGACGACCAGAUACCGUCGUAGUCUUAACCAUAAACUAUGCCGACUAGGGAUCAGACGAUGUUAAUUUUUUGAUGACUCGUUUGGCACCUUACGGGAAACCAAAGUGUUUG